rnacentral:lncRNA from 1 species
UCUCCAAUCACUAUAACAAAAACGGUUUAUAGCGACACUUUUAAAUGUAAGUACAUGUCAAAAAAGUGCUGCUAACUAAAAUUACCGACACUUUUAAAAAGUGUUGCUAUAUGUGGGGUCGCUAGGUAUAUAGUGACAGUUAAAAAGUGUCGCUAUAACCUAAAAGAGUGCUGCUAAUUUACCAACACUUAUUUAAGUAUUUAGCAACCGCCGAAACUCUAUCUCGUUGGCUACGGUGGCGGAGGAGGACGACAGGAAAGGCUCUUCGUCUAGAAUUUCAGUGGAUUGAGUGAAAAGAGAAGAAAAGAUGGUAAUUAAUUUUUUUUUUUUCUUUUCUGUUUGUAAUCGAGCCAAAUGGACUGGGUGUGGUGGGUUGAGUAGAAUAAUCUUUUAUUUUUGGUCGGAUUUGGCUUUAUAUUUAGGCAUUAGUAGAUGUUUUUUUAAAUUUUAGGAUAAAUAGGACACUUAUCCCAAACAUGUGUCCCUAUAACCUAAUUCUGUUGUAGUGAAUGGAGCUCCAACUACUGACGUUAUUUUAAAAGCUAAGUCGAGCAGACACUUAAAAGAUACAGAAGAAAAAAAAAAAAAAAAAAAAAAAAAAAACACCGAGAGCGAACCGUCAAUUGUGAUAAUUUUUGUACAGGUGAUGUUAGUAUUCAUUACCCGACUUAAUCCAGUACAAUUUGGGUGAGGUUUGGUUCUCACAAUUUGGAAAUUUGGGUCUAGUUUUUUUGAGUUGGUUUGAAGUUACAGAACAACGACCUUAUUAGGGCAAAAUAUAUGCUAAUGUUAUUAAAUUACGGUGAACCGAAUUACAAAAGUGAAUAUUUACGAUCGAAAUUUUACUUCAUCCCUUUCCAUUGAUCGAUGAAAAAAACGCGGUUCCUUGUGCUAAGUUAAACGUGACACACAUGCUAGCAUUAAAAUAUAUACACAGGUUAGGAUUUAGGAAUCAAACUUGUGCGUGCCCCUAUGCAGUUUUAUGUUUUUACUGUAGAGUAGAUAUCCCAAGGGACAAAAUGUAGUAUGCCAAAAUUGGCAAAGAAUAGCAAUUUCCUCUUAUCAGUACAUUUUCGAGAAGCCCACAUGUUAGGUGAUGAGAAUGAUGGACCCAUCGCACGUGUUAGAGUGUGAAAAGUGUGUGUAUUUAGAUGCAAAAUCGAAUGAGUCUAUUUGCCUUAUUGGUUCAUUAUAACAAUGCAUGGAGUACAACGUUUGCCACGUGAAUUGAAAUAGAGAAUAAACAAUAUAUACGUACAUAUUUCCGAAGUAGGGUGGGGAACAUGCGUACAGAUGCAAGUUGAUUCGGAUUUACAUAUAGAGCUUUGAUUCUGAUGGGUUCUUCUUACUAGGGCGAAAAGUAGAAGCUAAUUUUUUUUUUUAAAAAAAAAAAACCUCGAAUCAUUAAUAAAAUAAAAUAGUGCAAGGGUAGAGAAUCCCUUUCUUUGGUUGAUUUAUUUCAAUCUAUCAAAAAUUCGCUCCCAUUCUGAUCACUCCCAAAUAAAGCAACAAGUCGAGACAAAAAAUAAGAUAAAAUUUAAUGCGUUGCAAAUCCACUUUGACUUGCCAAAAAAAAAUAGGGCUAGGUGAGAGACCCCUUCUGCCUUCGAAUCUGUCCCGUUUGCAUUCCUAAACACACACACAAAGAUAUAUGUAUAUACAAAUUAUGAAAUUAAAGCACCAUUGAUUGAUUUAAAUCAAAAAAAUUAAAAUAUUAAAUAUAUGUAUGUAUAAUAAAAUUAAAAUUUUGAAAUAAGAUAGUUAACUCAAAAUACUCCAUAGUUCAUGUGAAUUUUAUAUAUUUUUAUCUUUCUAGUAUAUAUAUAAUUUUUGAAAUAAGUCCGAACUAAACUAACUUUAUGUUUGAGAAUUGACUUAUUCUUAAAAAUAAGAAAAAUAACAUUUUAAUAGUUAGAUUGGCAUAGUGGAAUAGGAGUAAUUGAAAUUUUAAAAUAAAAAUAUUUUAUCUAAUUAAUAAUUAUUGAAUAUUAAUAAAUAAUAAUUUAAUCAAUAAUUAAUUAAUUAUGAAUAUUGUGCAAGAUAAUGGAGAGAACCACAUUAAUUAUUUACUUACCUAUAAAAAAUAAGUUAAUAUGCUAAUUUAUUAUUUAAUCAAUUAGAUAAUUAGUUAAUAAACUAAUUAGAUUUGUCAUAUAUAAUACUAAUUGCUUAAUUAAUAUAUAUUACUUAAGGAAUAAGCACAUAAGAUAAUUAAUGAUUUAACUGGCUAGUUAAUUACGCACAAAAAAUUAAUUACGUACCUAGAUAGUUAAUUAAAUAUUUAUAAAUUUGAUGAGUUAAGGGAAUUAGUUAAUAAGUUUUGGUAUACGAUAUAUUUAUUAGUAAUAUUUACAAGCUUAAUUUGUAAUUUAACGACAAAACAAGAAAGGAAAAUAGUAGUCCCAUUCUCAUAAGUGAUUAAUCCCAAAAUUCAGAAAUAAGGCGAAUUGUUGUUUCCCAUUUGUUUGAGAGAAUAAACCGAAAUAAGACCCUUAUUCCACCUUUGUUUUCCAAUCAAACAGCAAACGAGUUUAGUCCCAAAGAGAAUGAAUGUGCAAAACAUGAUUUAAAAUUUUCAUUAUUCGAUUCAAACAAUUCAAAUUCUAAAUUUGACCCUAGUAAAUUACACUAUCCUAUAUGUUUCUAGAUGAAUGCACAGUGUCUUUUUACGUGCAGAGUUUUCACAAGCGCAUGCAUGUCUCUCCAAAUCUUUGAAUAUUAGUUAUUUCACAAGAACAAGAGAUUUUUCGAAACUUUUGCACUAAAAUUAUAUUGAACAAAAUAUUUAAUUUUGAAAGAGGGAAAUAGCAUAUCAUCUGCUUAGUUCUUUUUUAUCUAAAAAAUAAAAUUAACUAUAGACUUUGAACUUAGAAUUUUGAGUAUUAGUCAUUAAAUUUUUUAGCGCUUACGCUAAUUAUAUUAUAAAUACUCAUUAUAUUUUUGGCUGGAGUAAAUCUAUGGGUUUACCCAACCAACUACAUCGAAUUGUUUUGAGUUAAUUCUUCGUUUGUACUAUUACGACCAAAAGCUAAGCUUAAUUAGGCCUCAUAUGUAACUCGUUUUGGAGACAACACGUACGAUUUCAAGCGCAUGAUGUAGAAACAUAUAUGCAUGGGAACAGUUUACUACUGAGUUUCUUCGUUGUACGGCUACGACCCAGAACCAAUUGAAAGACUUAGGUGUGUCAAUAUAGAAACACAAUGUUAACAUAAAGCAUUAAAAACGUUGUUCUCUAAUUACUUAUUGGGUGCGUUUGGUUCGCGCUAUCUUUUAAAGAUUCAUAGUAAUCCAAUGAGAAUAAAAAAAUAUGACGGUGUUUGGCUAAACGCACUAAGUAAUUUAGUUGGUAAUAUUGGAUUCACUUGGGAAUAAGAUUCACCCCAAAGUACUAAUCUCAUUCCCUUGAGGGGGAUGGGUAUCCUCAUAUUAAUGGAUUGGGGUAAUCAUAAUAUGUCUAAUCUUUUUCUUUCUUCAUACCCGCCGGCUAAUUGAUAUUAUUUUUCUUUACACUCUAACCUUAUAUCUCUCUCUAAACUUAUUUUUCUCUCUAAAAUUCAACUUUUUUUUCUCCUCUCUAAACUAAGCUUUCUCUUCUCUCUCUCUCUCUCUUUUUCUAAAAUUUCAACUCUCUCACGUCCUCUAAUUUCGACUAUAUUUUUCUUUUUAUUUUUUAAUAUACUCUCUCUCUCUUAACUUAUAUCUCUCUCAUCUUUUCUAAAAAAAUGUUAAACUUUUGGUAACAUUAUUUAAAAUUAAUUUAAUGUAAUUAUUAAUUAAUUGUUAUAUUUUUGUAAUAUUAAAUAACAUAGAUUAAUAUUACCGUGCGAACCAAGCACAGGAAUUCCACAUUCUUAGUAAUAGGAUGAAUAGGAAUAAGAUUCUCGGAUAUCUUUUAUUCCUAGUAAUCUUUCAUAAUUGCGAACCAAACCACCCAUUAAGUUUUUGGAUUAACGUUGUUUUAUACGAUAUGAGGUAGUGAGUUUAAUCCAAUAAUAUUUUUAGUUACCAACAACAAUUGAGCAAAGUAUAUAAUAUGUGAAACUGAGUAUUGUUUAGUCUUGAGAAAUGAUUCGUACUUUUAAAAAAUAAUAAUAAAAAAGAUCUUAACCGUUGAUUAAUAUAGUAAAAAUGUAAUUUUAAUAUUUAGCAGGUAAAAAGAUUAUUUUAUUCAAGGUUUGUUUGGUAAUUAAACAAUACAACAUUUAAAGAACUUUUAAUUGAGGUCCUAAAUUUAGGCAUUAAUUGCACUAAUUAGAGAAAUUAAUUGAUUAACCAAAUUUAUGCAUUAAUUAGGCAUUAAUUUAGGCAUCUACUUUAAAUGUUUUAGUGUUUCUAAAAUUAUGCAUUAAUUUAAAUUAUAGGAAUUUUAGAAAUAGUUCUAUUUCUAAAUACGAUGAAUUUAAAUUUUAAAUAUUAAAUAUUUAAAAUUUAAAAGUGAAAUUUAAAUUAGAGGAAUUUUGUAUUACUAUUUAAAAAAAUUGUAAUGUUGGUAAAUAUUUUAAUUCAACAUAUUUAAUAUAUUUAAGAAACUUUUAAAUUCAUAUAGUUUAGACAAUAAUUUUGUAUCACUUAUUUAAAAAAUUUUGAAUGUAGGUUAAAAAAUUUAUAAUUUAAAUAUAUUUAAUAUGUUAAAAAAAAAUUAGAGUUGUGCUAGUACUUUAGACAUUAAUUUUGUAUGACUAUUUAAAAACAUUUGUAAUGUUGGUAAAUAUUUAAAUUUAACAUAUUUAAUACGUUUAACAAAAUUAUGAAUUCAUCUUAGUCAUUAAUUUUGUAUACUAAUUUUAAAAAAUUAAAUGUGGGCAAAUAUUUAAAUUCAACAUAUUUAAUCACAAAAUAAUCUAAAUUUCAUUCUUAUUUUAUUAAAAAAAGAUUUAGAAAACAAUAGGUAUGGAAAGAAAUUUUAAUGCAUAGUUUCUUAAAAUUAAACUCGUUUGAAAUAUUAAACAAAUAAACAAAGCGAAAAGAAAAAUUAAAAGAUCAUAUUGUCAAAUAAUUUGAAAAUUUUUUUAUAUGAAAUGCCAAAUUAUGAAAGGAAAGAUAGAGAGAGAAAAAGUAAACAAAGAGAAAAUAAAAAUUUUGAAAAUAUAGUAGAGGUAAAAUGACUAAAUUGCCCAUGUAUUAAAAGAUAAAAAUAUUCUUUUUUGAGAUACCUAGUAAUCGGUACCUCUCCCAAAGUGACCUGCUAUUGCAGGUCACAAUUUAAAAAAAAAAACUAAAUUUGAGCAAUUGAAUACGCAUGAAUAAACGGUAACGAAAAAAAAAAAAAGUAUAGAAGUAUUACUCUAUACAAANUCCAGUACCUUAGACAUUAAUUUUGUAUGACUAUUUAAAAACAUUUGUGAUGUUGGUAAAUAUUUAAAUUUAACAUAUUUAAUACGUUUAACAAAGAGAAAAGAAAAAUUAAAAGAUCAUAUUGUCAAAUAAUUUGAAAAUUUUCUUAUAUGAAAUGCCAAAUUAUGAAAGGAAAGAUAGAGAGAGAGAAAAAGUAAACAAAGAGAAAAUAAAAAUUUUGAAAAUAUAGUAGAGGUAAAAUGACUAAAUUGACUAUGUAUUAAAAGACAAAAAUACCUUUUUUUGAGGUACCUCGUAAUCGGUACCUUUCCCAAAGUGACUGCUAUUGCAGGUCACAAUUUUUAAAAAAUUAAAUCUGAGUAGUUGAAUACGCGUGAAUGAACGGUAAUGAAAAAAAAAAAUAAAGUAUAGAAACAUUACUCAUUAGUCUUUGGCUCUUAGCUUGUUAGUAUCUAUUUCUUUGUAUUUUUUCCUUUUUAAUUCUUCUAUUAUAUAGAGUACACGCGCCUCCUGUACUUUUGAAAAUACGGACACUACAACAAAAACGGUCUAUAGCGACACUUUUAAAUGUAAGUACAUGUCAAAAAAGUGCUGCUAGCUAAAAUUACCGACACUUUUAAAAAGUGUUGCUAUAUGUAGGGUCGCUAGGUAUAUAGUGACAGUUAAAGAGUGUCGCUAUAACCUAAAAGAGUGCUGCUAAUUUACCAAAACUUAUUUAAGCAUUUAGCAAUCAUCGAAAUUCUAUCUCGUUGGUUGCGGUGGCGGAGGAGGACGACAGGAAAGGCUCUUCGUCUAGAAUUUCAGUGGAUUGAGUGAAGAGAGAAGAAAAGAUGGUAAUUGAUUUUUUUUUUUUUUUCUGUUUGUAAUCGGGCCAAAUGGACUGGAUGUGGUGGGUUGAGUAGAGUAAUCUUUUAUUUUUGGUUGGAUUGGGCUUUAUAUUUAGGCAUUAGUAUUUAUUUUUUAAAAUUUUAGCAUAAAUGGGACACUUACUCAAAAGUGUCCCAAACAUGUGUCCCUAUAAUCUAAUUCUGUUGUAGUGGGAGGCCUCCAUAUUUAUAAGUUAUUUUUAAUGAUAGAAUAUUCGAUUUGACAAUUGACUCUGUUAGGUAUAAUCUACGCUAUUGAAACUAUCUGGAAACUAAAUUUAAUAAUCUUUUGAUAUCAUUUACCACGUUAUCAAAAGGUCUCAAAAUUAACUAUUUUAAAAUCCAAAUUACAUAAAACUUUAAUAAAUAUUCAUAACAAGAUCAAUACUUCUGAUUUGAAAUUUAAGUCUUUUAUCACUAUAUUUUAUGAGAUUUUAAUUUACAGCCGUUCAUUUUUAGGCUACUCGUUCACUAGGUAAAUGAAAUCAAAAAAUUGUAAAAUUUAAUUUCUAGAUAGUUCUAAUAACGUAGAUCAUAUCUAACCGAACCGAUUGCUAAUUGUAAAAAUAGUUAAUUUCUU